rnacentral:rRNA from 1 species
UACGUAGGGUGCGAGCGUUGUCCGGAAUUAUUGGGCGUAAAGAGCUUGUAGGCGGUCUGUCGCGUCUGCUGUGAAAGCCCGGGGCUCAACCCCGGGUCGGCCGUGCGGACUGGCGUGCUCGAGCACUGUAGGGGCGGGUGGAAUUCCGGGUGUAGCGGUGGAAUGCGUAGAGAUCCGGAAGAACACCGGUGGCGAAGGCGGCCCGCUGGGCAGGAAGGCUCGCAAGAGCCGGCUGACGCUGAGGCGCGACAGCGUGGGGAGCAAACAGG